rnacentral:rRNA from 1 species
CCUACGGGUGGCAGCAGUGGGGAAUAUUGCACAAUGGGCGCAAGCCUGAUGCAGCCAUGCCGCGUGUGUGAAGAAGGCCUUCGGGUUGUAAAGCACUUUCAGCGGGGAGGAAGGCGGUGAGGUUAAUAACCUCAUCGAUUGACGUUACCCGCAGGAGAAGCACCGGCUAACUCCGUGCCAGCAGCCGCGGUAAUACGGAGGGUGCAAGCGUUAAUCGGAAUUACUGGGCGUAAAGCGCACGCAGGCGGUCUGUCAAGUCGGAUGUGAAAUCCCUGGGCUCAACCUGGGAACUGCAUUCGAAACUGGCAGGCUAGAGUCUUGCAGAGGGGGGUAGAAUUCCAGGUGUAGCGGUGAAAUGCGUAGAGAUCUGGAGGAAUACCGGUGGCGAAGGCGGCCCCCUGGACAAAGACCGACGCUCAGGUGCGAAAGCGUGGGGAGCAAACAGGAUUAGAUACCCUAGUAGUC